rnacentral:lncRNA from 1 species
GAAAAGAGGGUAAUGGAAAUAAUCUUUUGUGUAGUUGAGUCUAACUCUUGGCAGGUACCAGGUCUCAGAGAUCCCACAGUGCACAUGAUUUUUAUUGGGUGAUUCGGGAUUGGCAACAGGGAGUUAGACAAGAUGACUAACAAAAGGGGAAUUAUGGGAUGAUUGAGAUGGGUGUUAGUUCAUAUAAAUGGGCAUUCAGGACCAAGUGGUAUAAGCAUGGUAUGGGACGUGCAGGUCUGCUUGUCCAGUUAUAUGAAUUAACGGGAUUAGAUGAAGAGCAUUCAUACAUUAUUAUUAAUAAUGUGAUAUUUGGCUGUGUAAUUGUAUGUCACUUAAUUUAGUUAUAUCAAUUUCCUGUAAAAAAAAAAAAAUAAAAGGUUUAUAUCCCUACUGAGCUGUGGUUUCGCUCACCCCCUAACAGAUUUUACAGGUACCGAACCUGAAAUCUAGAGUUUGUGAUGAUUUUG